ensembl:lncRNA
GUACGCUGUGUCCAGCCCAGAGGUGAAAGCCAUCCAAAGCAGAGUAACUGUGCUUUGUGUCCAAGUUGAUACCUGUGGAGAGGAAAGGAAAGAGAGAUUGAUACCUGUGGAGAGAAAAGGAGAGAGAGUGGGUAACACGAGGAGAGACCGAGGAAACCUGUACUUACGCCGCUGCCUGUGGAGAAAGAGAAAGCGAGUGAGCACCCAAGGAACGAACUGUGUGAACCAGUACUUACUGUCAGCUGCAAUCAGCGAAGAGCCGUUGCCUGUGGAGGAAGAGAAAGAGAGUGAGCACCUCGAGAACGAACUGUGUGAACCAGUACUUACCGUGAGCUGUAUUCAGCGAAGAGGAGGAAGAAGGAGGGCGCUACGGAUACCUAAGACUCAGGCCGGGGCCCGAGUCCCACGCCCCGGAUCCCCGUGGCCCCCUUGCUCCCUGACCUCUUCCCGGCCAUAGCCCAUCUGGAGGGCCGAGUCAGAGUUUAGUUUUAAUUGCCCUUUCCCUAUUCCCCAAGCUAUUUUUAAAUAUUUAAAUAAAGAUUGUUUUAUCACUUACUUGUUCUCGUGU